CAAUAAUAGCUAGCCUCCCCGGCUACCUUUUCAAAUGUUGAUCCAAAAAUAUACAUAUUCACUAUGGAAACAGAAGAUUUCUUAAACUCCUGACUAGCUUAUAUUUAUAUUAUUGCGCUGUAUUUAAGUCCUAAGUUAUGUAUGCAAGAAAAAAAAUCAACAAGUUUAAUACAAAUCUGCAAUGAUCUGACACAAAUCGUUAUGUUUAGAUUUUGAUCGAAAAAUCGAAAAAAAAAACUUUAUAACUCUUAGUUCACGAAUUCGCAUGGCUCCACUCUCCCCUAUACUGAGCUGGACGACUCAUCACGGGUGGGGAAAAACAUCUCGCAAUACGUGGUACAUACAAUGAAGCUGUCGUAGAUAUACUGCGAAGAAAUCGCUUUCAAUCACUUGAACCAGAUGAUUGGUGACCUUGAACCUUGCGAUACACAUCGUCGCAACAGCUCAGCAGCAGAGUUCUGUUCCAGAUAUCUAGAACCUAGAACGCGUAUUUAAGUAUUUAAGCGUUGCGUGCUGAACACGAAAGUUAACCCCGCCCAAGCAACCAUCCAGCACUAAAAAAAGUCAUAAAUCAGCAGUAGUUUGGCAUUCCAUUGCUAAUCAGUCACAAAACAGCAGUUGCUAGUGCAAAUCUGCACGUAUUCAACUGCAUUAUGCAAUGCUGACUAAUUGCUGGUUUAGUGCCACCACUAGCAACACUGCCAAGCUGUAUUUCACCAAACUGGCAACUCUUUUAUCAUUAUGAGAGAAGAGUGAAAGAGAGAGUGUGAGAAUAUAAAAAACAAGAUGUGUGUGUCUCGCUUCCUCAUGGCAUAAAAAAUAAACAGAGCGAAAAGUGCAAGCGGACUUGCUUCAUUCUCGAAAUGGGUGCUAAAAGAUGUUCCAGCUCUUACUGCGGCCAUUCCGUAGUUCACGAAUUUAUAGGCCAAACAGGAAUGGUGCGAUUUCAAGGCUGGAGAUUCUGGAUUUGCAAAACCGAUUUCAGGUGUGUAACGUUCGUGGAGUUCCUGGGACCCAGCACAGGAUUGGGAUGUAGUGACCACGGUAGUGACGAUCGAAUCGUAUCUAUUGUAGUGUAAUAAAUGAUAGUAAAAUUUAC